UUAUUUAUUUUUUUUUAGAUCUGUGUAAUUAUACUUUUUUACAUAAAAAUUAAGAAGAAAAAAGAAACAUUAAAAAAAAAGGAACACCACGACAUUAAAGACAUUGACGUUUCUGAAUAUUCCGCAUUUGUAUUCUCCUGGAUUAAAUGAAAGUACACCGCUAUUAUCUACUUUCAUUUGGAUAAAAUGGAAGGCAAAGUUGCCUUUUGUGAUGCAUAAAAGAGUUAGAUGCGACGCGAGAUCCGGCGCUUGAUAUUAAAGUAUUAAUGCCGUGUAACACCGUCCAACCCCGUCCAAGGGAUAUUUUAAUAUAAACGGGGAAUUUAGAUAUUUCACUUUGACAAAUUCUCGACCCCCAACAAGUGCUCAAAGGAAAUUGAAGCUAGCCAACAACGACUGCAGUAGGGCCGUGUACACGCGAUGCGGCUGGUUAUUUUAUGUUUACAGAUGACUCGACAUCCCAUAAUAAAUAUCGUUGCCCGGUCCACAAAUCUUCGGUGCAUCGCAUUUGUCCCCGUUUCUUUUUUCUUAUUCAUGAAACCGCGCCGGACGUCCUCUCCUUUUACGUAUCUUGGCGCCGUUGGCCACCAUCCCGCCUUAACAUUAUGAAAAUCUCAAUAACAUCGAAAGAAAUAUAGCUCCAUCUCAUCCCUUUGAAAGCGUUUCCCUCCGACCGAGGUAUCGAUUAAACGGUUGAUAGCAAUUUCCUGCAGACGGCGGGCCGAUUCGUUAACACGAAAAUAUGAUACGGAUUUUAUUAGCGCGUGAAAUGGAAGCGAUUUUGUUUCUCGCGCGGUGGCACACUUUUUUCACCGGUGCUCGCGCGAUUAACGCCGUGGCCCGCGUAUCGUUUCGCGUUGUUACACGGCGCGGAACAGCUGGCCGAAGAGUUCAAUUUUUGUCGUGGCGGAACGGGCGACGAUUUAAUGAAAACACAGGCGGUCGUAUUUCCAUGGGGAAAAAAACCUUCGACCAAGAACAAUUCUACCGUCACCUGGUGAACGUGUACACCAUCGCGACCGAACGAAUGGGAUAAGAAACGAGCCGACAACCGGAAGAUAGAUUUCGAGAUAAAAAAUGGUUCCACGUUCAACGCUCGUGUUUAUCAGGGCUGGCCGCUUAUCAAUCACGUUACACGGGAAUGAUCCAAGCGACGUCAUCGUUCGAGAGAAGGAGGAAACUUGCUCCAUCCUCUGUGACCGCGUUAAGGGAAUCAGGGGGUAUCUACUAUGGCGGAGUAAAUCAACCGGUAUCCAGAAUUGACGCGGAGCAUCGAGGGAGGCAGCUGACGGUGACGCUGCGGAACGAAAUGAUUGGCGUAUCGGCUCGCCCGUGGGACCGAUUCCGCCGGCUAGGGCCAAAUGGAUCGUCGAUUUUUCCCUGACUACCUCUGGGAACUGGACGGCUGGAAGGGAAGUCGUAGAAACGGAUAGGAACAGCGGUGGCAGAGAUUCGAAGCGGUCUCUCCCUC